ensembl:lncRNA novel transcript, antisense to PPP5D1
CACUUUCCUGCGAGUCGCUCUCCGAAGUGUCGCUGUCCACCGGCUCCUCGUCCGGGGUGUCUCUCACAGCCAGCAGGGCCACUAAGUCGGGGACACCAUUUUUGUCUUCUUUGGUGUUCAAGCGGAUGGAUUCGGCCCCAGCUGGCUCCUUCUCUGCCUCUUCUUUCUUCGAUUUGUCGGUGACGGUGACCAGAGCCAAGAACUCGCGGGGACCGUCUUCUUCCCCCUCGGAGUUGCAGGGCGCCCACUGCCUAACCAGCUCCCUGGCAGCGGCCUGCAGCGUGGCGUACAGCGCGCUCUGGUCCUCUUCUCCGCUCAGGUCGCCCUGGUCGAUCUCCUCGAUCACGAUGCCCAGGCUCUCGUCGGAAGAGUCCUCGGCCUCACUCCUCGCGGGAGCAGACGGCCGUCCUCCUCGGCUUCUCUUCUUGCCCUUCUGGGUCAACCUGUUGCGUCUGGUUCUGUUUCUGCGACCCCGACGGCCCCUCCUUGGGUUCCUGGCUGCCCCAAGAAGCGAGCCAGCCUGCCCUGUUACCUCCCCAGAAUCCUGGGCCUGCGUCUCCGAAGCGGGAGGGGUGGGUGCCUCCCCGGGGGUCCCAGCCUCCGCGGCCUGCGUGGGCCCGUCAUCCAGCAGCAGGCGUCUCAUCUGCCUCAGGACCCUCGUGUCCUGCGCACGGUCCUUCCACAGAACCCUCCAGACCCCAUCCUUGCCUGGGAUCUCCCUGGGAAUGGCAGCGUGAUUGACGUCCUCCACAAACUCCACCAGGGCGGCCUGGGCCUUCUCGUUCAUCAAAGCCUUCAUGUGUCGCAACCUGAACGUGCCCAGGGGCAGGAGGGUCGGCUGCAGGACGGCUUCGACGUCUGCCUGCUCCAGGCCCUCCGGGAUGCCGGUGACCAGCAGGGCCCUGUGCGCGUCCACGUCCAGGCUCCGGCACCAGUCCUGCAAAAGGCUCAUGGCCAUGGUGCAGCCCCCUUGGCGCUGAUCUUGGGGCAGCAGGGAGCCCGAGAUAGGGGUGGGCUGCAGCGCACGGUGUCAAUGCAACCCUAGAAAGCCACUUGCAGGGCUUAGAGUCCCGGUUCCGGUGAAUGUGGCAAGGCUGGAGUGGGGCUCGGGGCUCGGGGGCUCUAGCUGCCUGCUGGCCGGCUGGACGCAGUGACCUUCCCCCGGGACCCCUCUCCAGAGCUGUCUGAGGAUCCGCGGGGGGCUUACGUGUCUGCUUUCCAGGACAGCUCCCUCCCUCUCUCCCUGACACAGGCCUGAGUGACUCGGCACCGCAGCCAGGUGCAGGGGGGCGGCGCCGAGUGCACCUGGAGAGGCGUGGGAGGUAGCAGCCGCAGCUUGCCUGGCGCUCGCGCCGCGUCUGAGCGCGCACCCUGGGCCUGAAUCUCAGCAGUUCCGCUGCGACGCGGCUGCUCGCGCGUGCGCCUGCGCAGAGGGAGCCGCACACCCUCCCCUGUCCCCCGCCCAACCGUCUCCAUGGCAACGGUGCAGCCUUGAGCUGGGGUCUGCGUCGCUGUGGCCUGAGACGCUUUUCUUAAAGGUCCCGAUGACAAGGACUUGGGGCCUGGAAGCACCACUUUCAUUAACCAGCAAAAAACAAGGCCGAAACCACAGAGGGCCAGAAAUCACUCAAGGAUACCCGACCUCAUUCAGGGGAUAGAGGCCUCCUUCCAGAGGGUACCGGCAUCACUGGGGGUUACAAUUCCCCCUUCCAGGGGCCAGGUGGAAUUCAGGAUUAUAUAGGCCUAAAUCAAAGGGCACUGGCCUUGCAGCGUAGGACCAGGACUUACUCGGGAUACUGGCCUCAUUCACAGUAUAUGGGUCUCAGUAUCAAAUAGGGGGGCCCAGGCACCACCUGUGAGCAAGACACCAUUCAGGGUAUAUGGGCCUCACUUGCAGGGUACAGGCCCCACUCGAUGGGACCGGCCCUCACUCCCAUACACGUUCCUGUAUUCUGAACUAUGCAUGCACAAUAAAUCCUGUGGUUUUGCACACGC